UUUGGUGCCAGCAGCCGCGGUNAUUCCAGCUCCAAUAGCGUAUAUUAAAGUUGUUGCGNUUAAAAAGCUCGUAGUUCGAUUUGAGUUGCGGACUGGUGUGGGAGGUCACCGCCCGGUGCUUCCCGCCCAGGUUCCGAACAGCUUCCGUGAGUGGAAGCCAAGCCGGUUCUGCCGGGGUGCUCUUUACCGAGUGUCCCGCGCGGCCGGCCAGUUCACCUUGAAUAAAUGAGAGUGCUCAAAGCAGGCUACUCUGGAAUACAAUGCCCGAAUGUUAGCUGCAUGGAAUGAUGGAAGAUGAUCUCGGUUGCAUUUUGUUGGUGGUGGCAGCCAGAGGUAAUGAUAAAGAGGGACUGUCGGGGGCAUCCGUACUACGACGCGAGAGGUGAAAUUCAGUGACCGUCGUAGGACGAACAACAGCGAAAGCAUUUGCCAAGAAUGUCUUCGUUGAUCAAGAACGAAAGUUAGAGGAUCGAAGGCGAUCAGAUACCGCCCUAGUUCUAACCCUAAACGAUGCUGACUAGCAAUUCGCCGUCGUUAUUCCCAUGACGUGGCGAGACGCCCCCGGGAAACCUCAAGUCUUUGAGUUCCGGGGGUAGUAUGGUUGCAAAAGUGAAACUUAAAGGAAUUGACGGAAGGGCACCACCAGGAGUGGAGCCUGCGGCUUAAUUUGACUCAACACGGGGAAGCUGACCAGGCCCGGACACCAGAAGGAUUGACAGAUUAAGAGCUCUUUCUCGAUUU
rnacentral:rRNA from 1 species